rnacentral:rRNA from 1 species
AACGAACGCUGGCGGCAUGCCUAACACAUGCAAGUCGAACGAGACCUUCGGGUCUAGUGGCGCACGGGUGCGUAACACGUGGGAAUUUGCCUCGGGGUAUGGAAUAACUCAGGGAAACUUGAGCUAAUACCAUAUAAUGUCUUCGGACCAAAGAUUUAUCGCCCUGAGAUAAGCCCGCGUAGGAUUAGCUAGUUGGUGGGGUAAAGGCUCACCAAGGCGACGAUCCUUAGCUGGUCUGAGAGGAUGAUCAGCCACACUGGGACUGAGACACGGCCCAGACUCCUACGGGAGGCAGCAAUGGGGAAUAUUGGACAAUGGGCGAAAGACCUGAUCCAGCAAUGCCGCGUGAGUGAUGAAGGCCUCGGUU